rnacentral:rRNA from 1 species
AUGAACGCUGGCGGCGUGCCUAAUACAUGCAAGUCGAGCGCACAGACGAGGAGCUUGCUCCUCUGACGUUAGCGGCGGACGGGUGAGUAACACGUGGAUAACCUACCUAUAAGACUGGGAUAACUUCGGGAAACCGGAGCUAAUACCGGAUAAUAUAUUGAACCGCAUGGUUCAAUAGUGAAAGACGGUUUUGCUGUCACUUAUAGAUGGAUCCGCGCCGCAUUAGCUAGUUGGUAAGGUAACGGCUUACCAAGGCAACGAUGCGUAGCCGACCUGAGAGGGUGAUCGGCCACACUGGAACUGAGACACGGUCCAGACUCCUACGGGAGGCAGCAGUAGGGAAUCUUCCGCAAUGGGCGAAAGCCUGACGGAGCAACGCCGCGUGAGUGAUGAAGGUCUUCGGAUCGUAAAACUCUGUUAUUAGGGAAGAACAAAUGUGUAAGUAACUAUGCACGUCUUGACGGUACCUAAGCAGAAAGCCACGGCUAACUACGU